rnacentral:rRNA from 1 species
AUGGCCACCGCCGUAGCAUUUGCCCACCUUCUCCUUUUCCUCGUCUUGGUGUCCCCUGUGGCCUGCUACUCGUACCGCUGCGACUGGUGCCCUCGGCGGGCCACCGCCUCCCUCAUGCCUCCCGACGCCGCCCUCACCGGCGCCGCGUGCGGGUACGGUGGCCCGGAGGCGGCGGUGACUGAGCUCGCCGCCGGAGGAUUCCACAUUGCGGCCGUUAGUGCUGGAUUCUUCCGCCGCGGCUGGGCCUGCGGCGCCUGCUACCAGCUGAGGUGCACGGCCAGGAGUGCGUGCGCGAUGGACGGUGUGAAUGUCAUCGUCGUCGCCUCCACGGAGAUGGCGACGAACGGGACAGGCACCAAAGGCCAGUUCCUGCUCGGCAAGGACGCCUUCGCCGCCUUGACUACUGCUGUAGCUGGUGACGACGGUCAGCUGGCGAGCUUGGUGGAUGCGGCCGUCGACGUCGACUUCAGGAGGGUACCGUGCGCUUACAAAGGAAAGAACCUGGCGGUGAGGGUGGAGGAGAAGAGCAGCAGGGACAAGGGCCACCUCGCCGUCAGGUUCCUCUACCAGGGCGGCCAGACCGACAUCGUUGCCGUCGAGGUGGCGGCGCAGGUGGAAAUUCCUCGUGCCACGAUAUAG